rnacentral:rRNA from 1 species
UACGUAGGGCGCAAGCGUUGUCCGGAAUUAUUGGGCGUAAAGAGCUCGUAGGCGGCUUGUCACGUCGGGUGUGAAAGCCCGGGGCUUAACCCCGGGUCUGCAUUCGAUACGGGCUGGCUAGAGUGUUGUAGGGGAGAUCGGAAUUCCUGGUGUAGCGGUGAAAUGCGCAGAUAUCAGGAGGGACACCGGUGGCGAAGGCGGGUCUCUGGGCCGAUACUGACGCUGAGGAGCGAAAGCGUGGGGAGCGAACAGG